UCCCAAGCCGCUGAGCCCCACCACUGGCCUCAAGCGAAGAUUACAUUCCACCUGGCCCAACCUGCGCGGGCCGCGCCCACGGACUGUCCCUCGCCUUGCGCCUGCACAUCCCACUCAGUCCCGCGCUGCCCCUGGCCUCGCCCUCGCAGUGGAUGCCUGUCUUGUGCACGGAGUCGCCAUUUUGCCGCUAGAGAAGCCCUCUGGAGACCUGAACGCUCUUUUUUCAGUGGCCUAGCCUGCGGCGGCCCUGGGGCUGGGGUCUGGGCCAGGUAGGCGGGCGGGAGCCGGCUGUGAGCGGCGGCGCGGCCCGGUGGCCCCGAGGUUAGCGGGCGCAGGUGCCUCGGCGGGGAGUCCUGCCUGCGGUUUCACGGGCCCAGGGCAGCGGGCAUGGCUCUGGGGGCGACCCGGCCUCAGCCCGCAAGGCCCCUCUCUCCCUUCCUCCCUUCUCUACUUCAGGAGUCCACACAGCCAGGCCUGGCGCGCGGCCUGGAGUCGUUGGCCCCAGCCAGGCGCUGCUGGGAACCCCGCUCUGAUGUGGGACCUGUGGGAGGUCGCUCAGGUCUCACAUGGCCUCUGCUGUCACUGAGCCUGGCUGUGCUGAGCCGGGGACAUUUACCCCCAAAAGGAUGAUUUCAUUCCACUCCGAGCUCCUCCCUGCAGAGACUGAAAGAGGACCAAGAUAUUACAGUAUUUGUCCAAUUAUCUUGGAAAAUUUGGAGUUCAGCAAGAUGUUGAUUCAUUUUCUGUGCAGACUGAGAGACAAGCCACACAACCUGUUGUUGGAUUUUGCUUUUAAGUCAUGUACCAUGUUCAUCUUUUUAUUCUGAUUGACUCUAUUCUGUUUUGUUUCAUUUGGCUUCAUUCUCUUUAAAAUAAAAUUAAAAAACAUUUUCUUGCUGAGCAUGGUGGUUCAUGCCUGUAAUCCCAGCACUCUGGAGGGUUACACAGGUGCCUAACCCUCCAGGGAAUGCCAACCUAGCCUGAAAUACUUGGUGAGUUCAAGGUCAUGCUGCAGUACAUAGCAAGACCUUAUCUCUGAACAAAAUGAACAAACCCUUUUUCCUCUUAUCUUAUUUUAAUGUAGCACAAAUAGACACUAAUAAAAAUAUGAAACCCCUUAUAAAUAGAUUAAAGAUUUCAUAUUAUGCAGUUUAUAUACUAUGAAACUAUAGUAUAUUUAUAUACUAUAGUAUAAUUUAUAUAACUACUCUAAAACUGCAUAGUAUGAAACUAGUAUGAGGUAUGCAGUUUCAUAUUAUGCAGUUUAUAUUCUAUGUUUAGUGAUCCUGGGGAUUUCUGCAUGAGCUAUAUGCCCCUGCACUUAAAAAAAAAUUUUUUUUUGAGACAGGGUCUAAAUAAUUCACUCAAUUUCACAGGUUGAGUUUAAACUUGUGGUCCUCCCAGAGUGCUGGGAGUACAGGUUCACGCUAUCCUUACUUAGAAAUUCACAAUAAUUAUGUAUGUUUAUGGGAUAAAAAUGUGCCUUUAAUCUAUGGCUCCUUUGUAGAAAGAAUCAAUCUAGUUAAUGUACCUCCUGCCUUACUAAUCUACAAAUUCUUUCACAGUGACUAGGACUGCAAAUCCCAUUGUUUAGCAGUUUUGAAAGCUAUUCUUCUUAUUAACUCUGGUUACCAUAAUGUUUAGUGGACAAUUCAAAAUUUCUUCUCCACCGUGACUGAGAUUUUGUAUUCUUGGGUGAACAUUCUCCUUUCACCAGUUCUCGUGGAACUGAUCAUUUUUUUAAAAAUCAGACUGCCAAAGAAAGGUGUGAAGGCUCAAGGAACUUGGGGCACAUUGCUAUUCAGAAAGCCCAAGUAGUGGUACUCUGCAGGCUCCCAGGUUUUAUUGUUUUUUUGUUUGUUUUUUCCUUAACUGAAUUCUAGGAAUUCAAUGCAGGGCUGUCUUAGUUACUUUAUACUUGUUGCUGAGACAAAAUAUCUGAUGCCAAAAGUUGGGAAAGGAAAGGUUUAUUUCUUACAAUUUUUGGAAGUUUCAGUCCAUACUCAGUUUGCUUUACGGCAGGCUGGCAUGGCAGGGCCAAGGUUCAUGGCUGCUACAAACAGCAAGGAGGAAACAGGCAAAAGAGCAAGACAGGCCUUCUUUCUGCCAUUACAUCACAUCCUGGCUCUACCCCUAGGUCAGUGUAGCACUCACACCCCCAGUCCAAGGGAUAAACAAUGAACCAGUCAAAAAUGCAUAAUAUAAACUCAUGAGGCCUGGGGGCCAUAGACAUAAACUAUGACAAGGGCCUCGCAAUGAACUAGACUAACUUCUGUUUUAAAAUUCUUUUUUAUUUUGAGCCAGGGUAACCACAAGGCACUACAGUGCUGAGACACCAUUCUUGGACAUAGAUUCUUACAUGUCUAUGUGUGGAUGUACCUUGAUUUCAUGUUGGAAACCACUAGGAGGUGAAGCGGCUCUGAGCAGGAUUUAAAUUUUACUAAUUGGCUUUCUAUGUUUAGCUGUGAAUCUGUCCUAGGCCGAAGCCCCUUGCCUGGAGACAGGAGCUGAUUCAUAGUAAGUGAACCUCUAUGAAUCACAGGUCCUGGCUGAGGCCUGUAGUGGCUUGUGAGGCCAGAGAUACCUUAAAAGGCAAGAUAAGGCUACAGCUGUGGACAGUCUGGCUCCAACACCAAUUAAUUAGGUAGAGACUGCAGAUGCAAAGAUUACUCCUACAGUCUCACUUCUACCAUGUCUCCAUGAUAAGACAGUGCUACUGAAUUGACUUGAUUCAUUACUUGGAGACAUCCUUGAAGUGACUCCCAAGGUCUUGCUCAUUGGUUGUACUUUCCUCAGUUUCUCUGCCCUUUGUACUUGGUCCUAAAAUAAGUGGACUGACACAGAGAAUCCUUUGUCUUUACCUUCACAGUGGAGCCCUACAAAUCAUAUAAUUUCUCACUUUUUUUUUAACCUCCACCAUAAAAUAGUUUGGGAGAUCCGGGAUCUAGGGCAGAACCCCAUAAUGUCAGAGACAUUUCACUUUGAAAACCGAGAUCCUUAUUCUCACACCCAUGUAUUAUUUCAUGAUCAGAUUCCAUGGCUUCCUUUCCUGUGGACCCAGGGAGACCAAUCUCAGCAUCCCCCCAGCUUUCCCUGCAUCCUGUGGCCCACACUGAUGCCCCACAUCCUUUACAUGGAAGAUAAGGAUGGUCCCAGUUCCUUUGUGCUUCAAACAGCUGUGAAUCAAACUCCUGAAAAGAAAUCUUGCAAAGUUGUGCAGCUCUCCAUAAGUCAUAAACCUUUGUAAGUCAUAGCACUCUGAUGGAGCUGCAAGAUGGGGCUCUGCUCUGCUCCCCAUGUUCUCCCCAGUGCUGUUCAGCACCUGCCUUAAACCCUGCCAUCAGAUGGAGACACAGCACAUCUCAGGGAUGUGUGCCUGCAUGAAUCAGCUUUGGAGGCUCAGCGUUUUCUGCCCUUGUUGGUCACCUGUGGUGAUUCUCUUUUGAUUUAUAAGAAUUUUUCAUCUCUCACAGAAUGAACUCAUGACACCACUUUUCCACCUGUAUCACAAACUAUCUGUCUGACUAUGUCUUGUAAGGAAAGGUUUCUUGCUGUAGUUUGUACAUUAUACUUGUUUCUGUUUUUCAAAUGCAAUGAAUCAGACCUUUCUAGCUCCCUUCUAUCACUGAAGUCAAGGGAACAUUUUCCAAAAUAAAAAGAUGAGUAGAUACACAA